UAGCGUAGGGGGCUAGCGUUGUCCGGAAUCAUUGGGCGUAAAGCGCGCGUAGGCGGCCCGGUAAGUCCGCUGUGAAAGUCAAAGGCUCAACCUUUGAAUGUCAGCGGAUACUGCCAGGCUAGAGUCCGGAAGAGGCGAGUGGAACUCCUGGUGUAGCGGUGGAAUGCGCAGAUAUCAGGAAGAACACCAACGGCGAAGGCAGCUCGCUGGGACGGAACUGACGCUGAGGCGCGAAAGCGUGGGGAGCGAACAGG
rnacentral:rRNA from 1 species